AUUGAACGCUGGCGGCAUGCCUUACACAUGCAAGUCGAACGGCAGCACGGGUGCUUGCCCCUGGUGGCGAGUGGCGAACGGGUGAGUAAUACAUCGGAACACGUCCUGUUGUGGGGGAUAGCCCGGCGAAAGCCGGAUUAAUACCGCAUACGAUCUACGGAUGAAAGCGGGGGACUCUCGGGCCUCGCGCUAUAGGGAUGGCCGAUGGCUGAUUAGCUAGUUGGUGGGGUAAAGGCCUACCAAGGCGACGAUCCGUAGCUGGUCUGAGAGGACGACCAGCCACACUGGGACUGAGACACGGUCCAGACUCCUACGGGAGGCAGCAGUGGGGAAUUUUGGACAAUGGGCGAAAGCCUGAUCCAGCAAUGCCGCGUGUGUGAAGAAGGCCUUCGGGUUGUAAAGCACUUUUGUCCGGAAAGAAGUCCUUUACCCUAAUACGGUCGUGUGAUGACGUUACCGGAAGAAUAAGCACCGGCUAACUACGUG
rnacentral:rRNA from 1 species